ensembl:lncRNA CASC22 cancer susceptibility 22
AGACAGACAUCACUCUUUAGAAUCCCUGCAACUUUGAGCAAGUUCGUGAAUCUCACUAAGGCUCAGUUUCCUCCAUAAAAUUAAUCAAUAUCAGGGCCUCUGCAUUGGACAACUCCAGAGGGCACCAUUGGGGUUAUACCUUGUGUUUGCCUAACCUUCAUUGCAGUGGGCAGGUGCAUGCUUUCUACAAUGUCCUAAGGUCUAAAGGGGUAGAGUUCUGUGUGUGGCAUUUUAGGCCUGGAAAGGAUGAGAGUCUACAAAACCAGAGAAAUACUGCAGAGAUCCCAGACCACCACCCAUGAUCCCAGGCUGGAGGAAGCAGCAGGCUAGCGGAAUUCAGGACCAAUGAGCCAGGAAAGAGGACCCAAUGCAGAGCUCACAUCCCACCCUCCUUCCCCCAUGACAAAGCACUGGCAAACCCUGCCAAAGAAGAAGCUUGGCUGCAAAGCAGUCUGGAACUGGACCCGGGAUAGAUUCACCAGGAGCUCACCACCACAGGGAAUGCUGCACUUUGACUGGACAGAAUGCAUCCUCCAUGCCCACAGAGCAUGUGCCCAGGAUGAAUCUCACUGUAUCCCAGUUCCUCAUGCUUGGCCCCAAACCUCUUUUUCACAGUAAUAAAGAAAACACACUUUACAAAAA